AAAUAAUAAUAAUAUUAAGCAACCAAAACCUGGUCCGAGUCAAUCCGACCGGGUCCCAUUUCCUGAACUCGUUGUCCGGUCCGGCUUGUGCAUGCUCUCAUAAUCUUAUUUUCAAGAAUUUCUUAUUAUUGUUGCACAUUUGUUCCCAAAAAAGAUCAAGAUAAAAUAGAGUGAUCUCGAUCGUGAUGAAAACCUUAUAUAUCUAGUGGUUUGUUCUUCUCUUCUAACUGUAAAGUCUUUGUCUUAGCUCCCAUCGACUGCCAUAGUGUCACCUUUUGAGGUUAUAGGCCUGAAGUUAUGAGAACACUUCGACGCCAAAUCCUAGUACCAAUAAGAGCAACGUUAUGCUUACGUACGUGGAGUCACUUGGACGAAUGGCCUUGCAUGAUGACAAUGGCCGUGCAAUAGUUGCCGGUGGGAAAAAAAGCUACUAAGGGCGUGACAAGGUUAAACAAGUGUUUUGCUAUCCUCCUUGGCCCUUCUCUACUCUGAAAAGAGAUGUUAUGUCCAUACAAUCUAAAUGAAAAAUUUGGU
rnacentral:lncRNA from 1 species